rnacentral:rRNA from 1 species
UGGGGAAUCUUGGACAAUGGGCGCAAGCCUGAUCCAGCCAUGCCGCGUGAGUGAUGAAGGCCUUAGGGUUGUAAAGCUCUUUCGUCGGGGACGAUAAUGACGGUACCCGAAGAAGAAGCUCCGGCUAACUUCGUGCCAGCAGCCGCGGUAAUACGAAGGGAGCUAGCGUUGUUCGGAAUCACUGGGCGUAAAGCGCACGUAGGCGGAUAGUUAAGUCAGGGGUGAAAUCCUGGGGCUCAACCCCAGAACUGCCUUUGAUACUGGCUGUCUCGAGGUCGAUAGAGGUGAGUGGAAUUCCUAGUGUAGAGGUGAAAUUCGUAGAUAUUAGGAAGAACACCGGUGGCGAAGGCGGCUCACUGGAUCGGUACUGACGCUGAGGUGCGAAAGCGUGGGGAGCAAACAGGAUUAGAUACCCCCGUAGUCCCUGAGCGGGCUGGCAAGGCGCAU